AAUGACAUGACAGCUCUUUCUAAAUGAAUGUCGUUAUUAACAGCCACUUUCAGUUUAACGCUAUCAGCGACACAGCCAGGGAAGCCAACCAUUCACACCCGGGGAUACGCGCUAAACACACGCAUUGCAGCGCCGCCAGCUCUCACGCAUCCGGCGUAACACUCACGCGUUCGGACUGUCACGCUCACGCAAGAUAUGUUACGGCAAAUGCGUAGUACGGUAAGUCAAAACACUCGCUACAAAAUAUCGUUUUUGGCGCCAUCUCCUCCCUUUUUUUGUCUAAACCCGGAAUAAGAGAGGACAAUACUUUUUCAGGUUUAUUUUGAGGGGAAAAACCCCGUCUAAUAUUCGGUAAAACAUCAAAGUCAUAAAUAAAUAAAAGCUGGUUGCUAUGUUGGAUCGUCAGCUAUCAGUUAAAGGAGAUUCUCAAUACUCGAAAGGUCUGGGGUACUUUUGAUAAUAAAAGCGUUGAUCCCACCGUGUGGCAUGUAAUGACAAGCAUGAACUGUACAAGCAAUAUACGAGAUGAAGAUGAAUAGAUAUACAGGAAAAAAAUUUCUUACUGCAACUCGGAAGUCAAUGAACAAACUCUGCCGACAUUCCAUCACAGCCUGGAGAAGGAGUGGAAAAUUAAUUCAGCGGCGCCAUCUGCUGAAGAAAAGGGGACUAGCGGCGACGUCUCCUGUUUUCAUCCGCCUUUUCUAGCCACUCGAAAAACACUCUACUUACUUUCAUAAUUCUAUUUAAAGCUUCCAUGCGAAAUUAUUAAACAGUGCAUUUCAUGUAUAUCACCAAACACCAAUAUUAUGGAAGAAAUGAACAUUAGCAUAUGUAACAAUGACCAAAGUAGGGUUUGUUAGUUGUAUAACUAUACAAUGCAACAGAGAGGCACAACAGUUCUCACAGGGUGGUGGGUUCGACCCCCCCCCCCCCCCUCAACAGUUAUGGGAAAUGAAUGGAUAAUUGUUUGCAUAUUAACAUACAGAUAUAUACAUGUUUAUUCAGUCAAGUGGACUGAACACACAUCUGUGACUUGAUAAUACUUUCAGACAGGCCACUCCAUUGCUGUUAAAUUUUGUUGUCCUAUGCACAAUCACUAGAUGAUGCUUGAUUUGUGAAUUGUUAUAUUUAAUGGGGCAAUGCAGCCAAAGUAAACUCAUGGAUUCAGCAGUGAGACUGAC